ACUGAGGAACAAGUACUCGUUCUUGGGCACAUCGAACUGGCGAUCAUGGAUUAUGGUAGCCGUGUACAUCACCAUGCAGACGGCCACCAGGGCGAAUGUGUUCCGAACCGCAAAAUAUAUUCCCUGGUAGUUGAUAAAUAGGACAUUGAUAAAGAAUAUGAUCAUCAUAAUGUUGGCUAUUGCCACCAAACAGCUGAGCAGCAGAUCACCGGGAACAAUGAACAUGGGAAAGUAGGCGCCCCAAAAUAUCGAGGCCAACAUCAAGGCAACCACUACAAUGCCGGCGUAGAAGUUGACGAGUCUAUUCUCAUUGUGCUUCUGUUCCAUGGCUAUAUAAAUAGUUGAGCUUUCCACGAUCGCUGCGAUAAUGAUGUAGUUAAAGGGCACCUUGCGUCCUAGCUUGGUCCACGAUAAAGUGGCGACUGCGAAAAAGGUACACAGAAGCCACCAGCCGUAGCGCUCCUCCGAUCUGCUGUGGCUCAGCAUAUGGGUGUAACCUAUAAUGAUCCACUGUGUCAAUGCGAUGGCGGCCAGGAUCACACUAAGUCCGUAUAUCUUGGCCGCAUGACUGAUGCUCUCAUCCGGUGGCUCGCCAUAGACCUCCUGAUCGAUGUUCCGAAAAGUGUUUUUUUGAAUACUUGGCAUUGGACUAGGAAAUACCAGAGUUGAUAAAAUUCCAAUUAUCGAUUUCUUGACUUUAUUGCUCGAAACAAAUUCAAAUCUUUAACCGAAAGGUUUCUACUGGGUUAUCUAGAUCGGAUUUACAAUACUUGCCUUGAGCGGUCUGCAUUCUGUACAUAUUGUAGCAGGUGGAAAUGUAUAACAAUUAGUAAACAUUUUUAUUAAUCACGUUCACAUUGGAAUAGUAGAUAGGCCGUGUAAAUCAACUGCCAAACUUCCAAGAAUCUCCCCUUCAAUCGUAUUAGAGAACACGCAUAUGCAAAAGAACAGGGUAAAUGAGUUAAGGUAGAUCAGCAUGGAGCAGAUCGGUUCAAGUCCAAGCGGGGAGUAUUGCAAUCGUCCGUGCAUAAACUGCGCUUCCAGGGGGAUGACUAUUAAUACCAGGGCGCUCAGCACAGCACAGAAGGUCGGAAAAAAGUAUCGCGUGGAUACUACAGACAAAACGCUGAGCGGAAGGAGAGCUACCAGGAAAAUGGUCACAAUCACUCCGGUGACGAGGCCAUUGGGAAGAAACGAUUUUCGGCAUUUAGCUCCAGAGAACAUCAGUCCGCCCAAAACCAGUGCCAUUACGGUAAAGUAGAGCACCAAGUCGGGAAUGUCAUACAUGUUUACAUAGUAUGCGGCGGACAGCGUUAAGAGUCCCACAACCCCGCCGACCAUUGUCCAGACGAUCAGUGGCCGAACGCGACUGAUGGGCAGGCAGAUCAGGACUGCCAGGAUGGCGAGGGCGAAAAGCAGCCACACGUACGGCGGAACCGGCAGGAUUCUAACAAUGCUUAUCUUGAGCGACGCAAUAAACAUUAAGGGAAAUGCCGAUGCGGAACACAGUAGUACGGCUUCUAUGUAAACAGUACGGGCAAACACUAGCUGCACCUCGUCUGCUUCCUCUUCCAAUUCCACUUGCUCAUGCUGACAACAACUCAUCGAUCCGAAUUUUUUGAGACAGAAAUUUCAAAAAUUGAUGUAAUUCGACAUUUUGCUAAGAUUGUUCACUAGUAUUACUGAGGUAUACCAAUCAAAAACCAAAUGGCCUGUUCAUUGAUUUUCGAUGGUUUAAUUUAAGCCAACAACAUGCACUUAAAACCAUUCAGUUUUUAUCCAACAUAGUCGCAAAUACAUUUCUAGGCUAUUUGCACAUCAGCCUCAACAUAUUUUUUAUUCAACUAUUAACUAGCUUAUAGUACAGGGCAAAAACGAGCAUGCAGGAGAGUAGAAAAAUAAAGUGUAGGUAAAUGCCAUUGGCGCAAUCCGCAGUCUCCCCAUAAGGCACCUGCUGCAGCCUUCCACAAAUGAAACGAGCCUGAAAUGGAGCCAUGAAUGCGAUCAGGAUGACGAACACUAUGGCAAGUGCCAGGAGAUACCGCAUAUCAUUGAUGAUCAGGAAGAGUAUUAGCAGGACGAUCAUGGUGACGGUGAGCAGCAGAAAAAUGCAGCAAGUACAGAUAAUGUUGGGUAGCAGAACCUCCGGACUUUUGGCCCCAUACAAAUGCAGCAGGGCCAGCAGGGAUCCGGCAACCAAAAUGGCAAUCAAAAGGACCCAGACGCGCACUAGAUGCAUAUAAUACGCUCCGAACAGGGUGAGAAAGAACAAGGAUCCCAGCACCAAUCCCCAGCAUAACAAGGUCAAUGCUGGAGUCUGUGCGAUGCAGCCGAGCACUGAGAGAAUGAUGAAAGCUAAUAUCAGCCAAACGAACGGCGGCACUGGAAUUGCCUUGUAGACCCUCACAGCGAGUGCCGACAGUAUGAUCCACGAAAUGGAAGACAGCAGGCACAGCACUACGGAGGAUAGGUACACCCGGAAGAUGAAGGCCCGCAACUCCCGCUCGUUGAUGACUAAGACCUCCGGUCCCUCCGCAGGAACUGGCUCGCCACCAGGUCUUCCGGUUCUAAGGCCAUAACGACCCCAACCCCGAUUGCGAUUAUUCAUGUGUUAAUCAAUUAUUUUAGGUCAAUAUAAUGUAAUUUUGAAGAAAAAAGCAAAGUAAGUGAUUCAUUUUCUCUUAUAUUGAGACUAGGACUUUUCAUAAUACUCUGGCUUUAUUCUAAUUGCCUUGCAAUGAGAAUAUAUUUAUAUUUUCUGUACCGCCUAGGCUACACCGCACUAAGUAAUUAGACUGGAUGACAGUAUCCUUUGGUCUGGAACACCAUAGUAACUUGCCAGAUCGCUAAUCAGUUUCGAUCACACAGUGACAGCUAUUUCUCUCAAUCAAAAUCAUUUUCGAGUGAAAUUUUCGGAGCUUCAGAUGUUUGUCUGAUGGCCUCCUUUCUCUCGUCGACCAGGAUGAAGUAGCACACGCAGAAGAAGAACAUCAUUGAAUGCAAGUAUAAAGUCAGGGUGCAGACCAUGAGGUGCUCUUCGGGAACCACUUCCACGACGUUCAGACGGCCAUGGUUGAACUGCGCCUGAAUGGGGAUCGCUAUGAUCAGCAUCAGGAACAGAAUGCUGACGAAGGUGUCGAGCAGCUCAACACUCCCGGUGCAGAGCUGGACGAUUCCCACAAUGGUCAAGACCAACAGCAGUGCCAUCAUCAGCAGCGUGGAGCAAACACCGCCGGGCAGGAACUCCUGCGGGCACAUGGCCCCAGAGAAGUUGAGUAACAUAAUGAUCAGGGCCACGCCGAUCAUCACGAAACUGAUAAUGAGCGGGCUCAAGUCGUGGAUGAAAUGGCAGCCAAACAAGGUGGUACACACAACCACCAGACCUGUCAUGAACCACUUACAGGGAGAGUAGUAGGAUAUUCUCGGGAUACAAUGCAUGCAUAUCAUCACCAGAAAAAUUAUUAGAGCCAGGACGUAGCAGGGAAACGGAAGGUACCUCUGCAGGUGAAUAUGGGUCAGCAUGAGCAGAAUCCAUGCGCCCACCGUAAUUCCGAUAAGGAUCAGGCCAAUGUUAUAGAUGCUGCGGAUGAACUGGGUCAUUGGGUCCAGCUGCUCGAUCGUCGGCCGGAUGUUGUCCUGGUGGUAAAUGUUGUCCAUCCCGUUAAAAAUCCUUAUGGACCGAGUGUUAAGACUAGGUCUGGCCUGCACCCUGACACUUACCUCCUGGCAAAGCUGCUCACCUUCUAUAUCUUUUAUUUACAAAUUGGUAUCUUUUCUCAUUAAAGCCUUCUUUUUAUUUUACACGGACACGUUAAAUUAACUCCUAUAACUCUCACCAUUUGGGAGCCCAGAUGACAAAGUAAAAGGCCGCAAAGAACAACAGAAAGUGCAGAUAGAUGUUGACGGCGCAAAUAACGAAUUCGUAAUCGGGCAGCUGGAAUCGCCUGGAAUGAACCACCUGAGCAUGGUAAACGGAUGCGGGUAUUAGCAAAGUGGCCAAUAACGUGAAGUACACCAACUGGUAGAUCCAAUUGUCUGUGAAGAUAUACAUGGUCAUCACAAAGAUUGAGGACAUCACGAAAAUGACGAGCAGGAGGAACAUGGUCCUCUCUCCGGGGAGGAUGAUCUUGGGUAUCCAUGCGCCAGCGAAAUAGCAUAUCACAGUCAUGGCGGAGGCCACCAGAAGGGCAAUGCACACGCGGGAAAGGUUCCGCUCCAGGAGAAGCAGAAUAACGCCCAAACCUGCCAGACUUACAAACAACCCGGCCAUGAUGAAACUAUACCAAUAAAAACUCCGCAACUUGGUCAAAAUACAGAAGACAAAGAGAAACAUUAGGGACACCAUUGCACUUAUGAAUCCUGCCAUUAUAAGAUCUGCCUCCGGAGGAAUUACCUUGGACAGGAUUAUGGCAAGGAUCGCAGUUGUAGUCGAAAACAAUCCAGCCAUCAUGUAGCAGCGCCGCACAAAUAUUAUUUUCGACGAGUCGCCAUUUCCGUUGUCCAGUCCUCUGGAGCCUUCGCCUUCCACAACCGAACGUCGUGCCCUUAAUCUACGGGGUGCUAAGCGAAGCUGGUGUAUCGAAGGAUGCUCGUAUCGAACCAAAGUUCCAGGAGCCUGCUCUUGCUGCUGUGGCAAAGGAAAGUUGAGAAGCUGGAGGGCUGGUGGAUAGAUGACCCAGUCAUUUCUUAAACUGCCUCCUAACAUUGGGAGCACUUAGAGGGCAACCACUUAAAAUUUUGACAAAAUAUUUAUGGCACACCCUGAUUGGGUACGAAGACAUCCCUAAAAACAUAAACAAUACUAAUACUACUAAAAAUUACUAAUAGCCAAAAUAAUACAUAGCCUGUAAAUCUGAUUUAAGAACUGGAAAUAUUUAUAUACACCGUAUAUAUAUAACAAUU
ensembl:ncRNA asRNA:CR45260 antisense RNA:CR45260